rnacentral:rRNA from 1 species
UAGGGAAUCUUCGGCAAUGGACGAAAGUCUGACCGAGCAACGCCGCGUGAGUGAAGAAGGUUUUCGGAUCGUAAAACUCUGCUGUUAGAGAAGAACAAGGACGUUAGUAACUGAACGUCCCCUGACGGUAUCUAACCAGAAAGCCACGGCUAACUACGUGCCAGCAGCCGCGGUAAUACGUAGGUGGCAAGCGUUGUCCGGAUUUAUUGGGCGUAAAGCGAGCGCAGGCGGUUUCUUAAGUCUGAUGUGAAAGCCCCCGGCUCAACCGGGGAGGGUCAUUGGAAACUGGGAGACUUGGGUGCAGAAGAGGGGAGUGGAAUUCCAUGUGUAGCGGUGAAAUGCGUAGAUAUAUGGAGGAACACCAGUGGCGAAGGCGGCUCUCUGGUCUGUAACUGACGCUGAGGCUCGAAAGCGUGGGGAGCAAACAGG